GUGGGGAAUAUUGCACAAUGGAGGAAACUCUGAUGCAGCAACGCCGCGUGAACGAAGAAGGCUUUCGAGUCGUAAAGUUCUGUCCAAAGGGAAGAAAACAAUGACGGUACCUUUGGAGGAAGCCCCGGCUAAAUACGUGCCAGCAGCCGCGGUAAUACGUAUGGGGCAAGCGUUAUCCGGAAUUAUUGGGCGUAAAGAGUGCGUAGGUGGUAAUUUAAGCGCAGGGUUUAAGGCAAUGGCUCAACUAUUGUUCGCCUUGCGAACUGGGUUACUUGAGUGCAGGAGAGGAAAGCGGAAUUCCUAGUGUAGCGGUGAAAUGCGUAGAUAUUAGGAGGAACACCGGUGGCGAAGGCGGCUUUCUGGACUGAAACUGACACUGAGGCACGAAAGCGUGGGUAGCAAACAGGA
rnacentral:rRNA from 1 species